GGGGGGGUAAGCGUUGUUCGGAAUUACUGGGCGUAAAGGGCUCGUAGGCGGCCAACUAAGUCAUACGUGAAAUCCCUCAGCUUAACUGGGGAACUGCGUGUGAUACUGGAUGGCUUGGAUUUGGGAGAGGGAUGCGGAAUUCCAGGUGUAGCGGUGAAAUGCGUAGAUAUCUGGAGGAACACCGGUGGCGAAGGCGGCAUCCUGGACCAAUAUUGACGCUGAGGAGCGAAAGCCAGGGGAGCAAACGGGAUUAGAUACCCCGGUAGUCCUGGCCCUAAACGAUGAAUGCUUGGUGUAGCGGGUAUCGAUUCCUGCUGUGCCGAAGCUAACGCAUUAAGCAUUCCGCCUGGGGAGUACGGUCGCAAGGCUG
rnacentral:rRNA from 1 species